GUGGUGGUGGUUGUACUCCUGUGUCGCACCUGCUGGCACUUUUCAUUCGUGGGGUAUUUAGAUGCAAGAGAAACGGAAGGAAGAUGCAGAGUUAUUGUUCACUGCUCAUCACCAUUGCAGCAAGCAUUGUGUUCCUCUCGUGGUUGUUUCUUGUUUGACGCAUCCUGCCAGUAGUUCCCUACUAUCAGUCAGUUCUUCGUUCAUUUAGGGAGUUCUGGCGGUUCCUAUCUGGCCGCCUCAGUUUUGCCCCGCCAACCUGCCGUCGAGACACGGCCAGGUAAAGAUUGACAGCAUCUUAAAAGAGGAUUCUGGAUCGACCCGGUCCUCUGAGAUCACACUCCACAGGCAAGAAAACAGGAGGCAUUCUAAAUCAGACGUCCACAGCGACUCGAGGAAUCAAAGCUGGAUGUCGCUGCCUCGCAUCACGGGCGUCAAGCAGUUGGAGCACAGCAGCUGGACGCUGUCUGCCGAGUAGCGGCUGUGCUUCUCCGACCUGUGGAUCGCCGCCUCCCGGCUGGAAGCGGCCGCCUCCUCCUGAAGCUCGGCUGUCUGCGGACAGACGCAGAAGAAGCCGGAGGUGGUGACGAGGUGAGAUGGCGCAUAGACACAGACGCCUCAUUGGUUGUCCCUCACGGCAGAGCUGACCCAUAAACUAAUGCGAGUCAACGUCAUAGAGUGGAAACCCAGAAAAUGUACGUCGCUGGCAUGGAUAGAGUAGUGUAUUAAGUGACAUUGGAUCUUGCCGGCUCACUCACCUUGGUCCUGCACUCUUCUGGGCUCAUCUGCUGGAUUCUAUCCACAGCGCUGGCGGUGAGCCCCUCUAGGUAAGUAUUGAUGCACUCCCGUCGCUCCUCGCGCCCGCCGCGCUGGGCGAUUAGGCAGUAGUGGCUGUCUUGGGCCCGGGCGCGACCGCUGGCCUGCUGCUGGGCGAUCUCGUUGGUCAGCAGGCCGUAGCGCACCACCAGGUUGCAUUGGGGGAUGUCCAGGCCCUCUUCGGCCACGCUGGUGGUGAUCAAGAGGUUGACAGAGCCCAGGCGGAAGUUGCGGAUGGCGUCGUCACGCUCGUGCUGUGGGAAACGGGACGAUGGAUAAUACGUUGUGAAUAUUUACAAUACAUUGUAAAUCAUGAAAAGGUAAUUGCUUCCUUCUGAAAUCCUUACUAAUCCGUACUGCAGCAGGACAACAAGUCCAAAAAACACCAACGAGUACAACUUCUGAAUCGCUUAAUAAAAAACUAGACAAAAUGAAGGUUUUGGAGUGGCCGAACUUCAGACUUGACGCCGAUUGAAAUGUUGUGGCAUGACCUUAAAUGCUCGAAAACCAAAUUAGAGCACUGUACAUUUAAGCUAUAUUUGCGCUUGUGGGAUCGAAGUGGAAUGCAGGUAUGCUCCUUCAAUGUUGCAAUGAACCAAUUUUCCUCUUUGUCUUGAUCGCUGUCCGCUAGCGCACCUGUGUCAUGGCGGUGCUGCCCAUUAUGACGGCGGGCUUGACGCCGGCUAAGUGCAGACCGUGGUUGGCGAGCGCCCAUUGGUGUAGGCAGCGCGUGCUCUUGCGGGUCUUGCUGAACAGGAUUCCUCUGGACUGCACGUUGGGACUGAAGUGUCUCAGCAGGGUGGUCUCCAGCUGCGCCAUCUUGGGGUUUUCAAAAAGCACGUCACGCGCCAGCAUCCUCAGCUUGUUUUGGU